rnacentral:lncRNA from 1 species
AUGUUGUGGAUUUAGAUUCGGAGGAGUAUAAGAAAAAAGUGAUUAUGGAAGGACUUCUUGGAAGAAAUAAUCGAGGUAAUAAUAAUAAAUAACAUAUGAUGAUAUGUGAAUACUAUUUCUUGUGUUGUUUGUUCAAAGAAAAAAGAAAAUAGAUUAUUCUUGUGAUUUUGUUUAAGGUAGGUCAGUAGGUGGGUUGUUUGAUUUGAUCAUGUCGUCUUUUGGUGGCUGCUUCCAAUUUUGUCUAAUUUAGUAGUAUAUAAUAAUAUGUACUAUUAUAUAUAUAUAUAUAUAUAUGACAAAAAAAAUUGUAAAUUAAUGAAUUUAUGGUAGAAUAGUUUCUUAUAUAUGUUAUUUUGGUUUUUA